rnacentral:lncRNA from 1 species
ACAGUCAUUUUCUACAGUUUCUUUAGUUAUUGAAGGUAAACAGACUCAGGUCUGUCUCUAUAGUGAUCAUGUUGUCAGACACUAUAUUAAUAUUAAUAUUAACAUUAUGAGCCUGUCAGUGGUGAAAACAAGCAGUUUACUUUGACGCAGAAGCUUGUCCCAUUUUGCGGUUGCCGUUCUAACGUUCUAACUCAAUACUGGACUGAUUUCGAUCGUGUUUGUCCCUAAGUAUUGUCCUUUAAUGCUGAAGAGGGGAAAACAAACUAGGUUCACACCCACUUGACCUCCUUUCACAAUUUCUUUAGAAAAAUUAGCCAAUCACCAUUGAGUGUUGUUCCGCUCUGACUGGACUGUGAAAGAAAAAAAGAGGAUGACAAGGAUACCAUGUGCAAGGGAGUAAGCCCUUUUUGGUUAGUUAACAAGCAUGAGAAAACAAGAAGCUUUGCAAGAAACUUGGAAUAGUAUAAAGUAGGCCUAUACUAGGAAUGUACUUUAUCAGCACCUGUUUUAUUUGUGUUCCAUUAAAUCAGUUGUACACAGUGGCAAAUUGUUGCAUGUGGCUGUGAUUAUUUCUUACCAGAUCUCUGAACUCUGAACCAGUAUGCCAUCAAUCUAGUGACCAAAGGUCUAUGGCUUUAGAAUUGUUCCAGGAAUGACUGGAUGCAUGGCUGCAUACACAAAGGACCUGUUUAUUAGAUAGCCUCAAUGUUUGUAAACUCACUGUAAUGGAAAGGAAUUCCAUUUCAAGUUUCACUAAUGAUAGUUGAGACAAAAGAGUGCAUUGCAGAAUAGUACCUGCCACAUAUGGAAAUGCUUCUGAGAGGUUUCUGCUCUGCUCACAGAGUAUGUCUAUAUUAAGCGUUACUUAUCUUCAGAUCUCUCAAUUCACAAUCAAUAUACUAUGAUUUUUAAUCACCAAUAAUCUUCUCAGGUACAACAGCAUCCACCACCUGUACUAUGACCACCACCACCACGACAUCUCGUAGUGCACCAACAACAGUUACCCCCGGCAGUACACCCACCUCCUCCACCCCCACCACAUCUUCUAGUAAGUUGACUGAUUGCUUGCUUGGAAAACAUAUCUCUUGCUAACUGAUGCGGUACAGUGUUAAUCACUGCUUGCUAACUAAUGCGGUACAGUGU